UCUAACAUUCUCUCUCUCUUUUCCUCUUUGUGCGUGUUUGGAUGCGCGUUGCCCUAAUGCAACGCGCGUAUUUCCUUCCGAAAACGCAAUUCGUCUCUCUGAAAGCAUGUUUGGAUUUUUCUUCUUCACACGAUUCCAUGAACGAAAAUCAAUUUUGGCUGAAGCUGAUGAAGAUUGCUUCUACGUUUUCAGGAAAUUGAUUUUGUAUCUGGAUGAGAACAAGUCCUUGAUUCUGAAGAUUGUUGAAAGCUAGAAUACUGGCAAGCUGAGCGAGUGUGCCAAGUAGCAAGCAUAUUUGUUCCUUCGGUUGUUACUUUGGCAUUAUUGACAUUAUUGGGUUGGUAAGAUCACCAUAACUACUUUGGGCAUAUUAAUACAUAUUGUUGAGGAAUUGGCGUUAUUUGGCUUGAAUACCACUGCCAAUUACAGUGUGUUUAUUUUAAGUAUUAAUUUUAGCUACUAUUUGCUAAGUUAUAUUUUGUUAAACCUUUUAAUGUAGAAGUAUGGGUUUUGAGAAAGAAAAAGUUUGUUGGGAUCUUAAAGCAACUGAAUGUUUUAUCAUAGCAUGCUUGGAACAAGUGACUAACGGCGAACAGUUGGGUACUAGUUUUACUAAGAAAUGAUGGGUUGGAAUUACAACCAAAUUUAAGGAGUUAACAGGAAAGGUUUAUGAAAAAACAAAGUUUAAAAAUAGGUUUAAUAAUUUAAUAAGGGAGUGGAGGUUAUGGUAUAAAUUAUUUGGUAAAGAAACUGGGCUUGGAUGGGAUAAUGUGAAGAAUACUGUUAAAGAAAUGGUUGCAAUUUUUUUAAACAUGGUUGGUCAUGUGGUAGGAAAUAGGAUGCUUUAAGAGAGGUUUCAACACUCUGGAGAGACUAUUAGUAGACAUAUCCAUAAGGUAUUAAAUGCUUGCCUUAAGUUAUGUGUAGAAUAUAUUAGGCCACAAGAUCCUCUAUUUCAUGAUAGUCAAGCCAAAAUAGAAAAUGAUACACGAUACUGGCCAUUUUUUAAGAAUGCAAUAGGGGCAAUUGAUGGAACUCAUGUUCCAUGUGUGGUUACUCCUAGUGACCAAGCAAUAUUUAUUGGGAGAAAGGGUACUCCAACACAAAAUAUAAUGGCAGUUUGUGAUUGGAACAUGUGUUCUACUUUUGUACUAGCUGGAUGGGAAGGUACUGCGCAUGAUGCUCGAAUCUUCGAUCAUGCUCUCACAACUGCCAACUUGAAUUUUCCACAUCCUCCUCAAGGUAAAUGUUAUUUGGUAGAUGCUGGUUAUCCAACACUAGUGGGAUAUCUUGGUCCCUAUAGAUGCGAACGUUAUCAUCUACCGGAUUUUAGACGUCAGAAUGAGUUUGAAAAUAAUAAUGUUUUCAAUUAUUACCACUCAAGUUUAAGGUGUACAAUUGAGAGAACCUUUGGGGUAUGGAAGAAUAGAUUUGCAAUAUUGUGACACAUUGUAACAGCCCAUUUUUCAUGGGCCAAAGGCCCAAUUCGCAGCCCGGAACGGGCCGUUUCAAAAUUGAAACGGGCCGUUCCGGAAUAGUUAGAAUGCCCAAAAUGUAUAAGCAGAACGGGUCGUUCUGGUUUUAGACCGGGCCGUUCUAGUUGAGAAAUUUA